GCUGGGAGUUGUAGCGUGCUCCUGUAAUCCAGCUAUUGGAGGCUUAGCGUGUUGGAGGUUUUGAGGUCGGGGGUUCUGCGGCCCGUUGAUCUAUGUCGAUCGGGUGUCCGCACUAAGUCCGGCAUCAAUAUGGCGGCCCGGAGGGAGCUCCGAGUUGCCAGGUUGUCUAAGGAGGGACGAACCGGCCCAGGGUGGAAACACAGCAGGCAAAAGUCCCCGUGUCGGCCAGUAGUGGGAUCGCACCCGUGAAUAGCCAGCGAGUUGUAGCCUGACCAACAUAUGCCGACGCAUGUUUUU
rfam:Helobdella robusta unplaced genomic scaffold HELROscaffold_3, whole genome shotgun sequence.